UAUAUUUAUUAUAUUCUUCUGUUUUAUGAUUAUUUGUUAUAUUUAUAGUUAUUACUUUAAUUGACUGAAAAAUGUACCUUAAAGAAAGAAGAAAAGAGUACUUAAUUUUGUAUACCCCAUAAACCAUAAAAAAUCUCCCAAGAAAGGAUCAAUGACAUACAAUAAACCCCAAGAUCGAAUUCCCCAAAUUAAACCGGGGAAAACCCAAGAAAAUUCUAGGUAAAAAGUUGAACCCGCGUUUCAGGAAUACGAUCAAUCUAAGCUGUAGGCAAUUAAAAUUUAAAUAGCUGGAUCAGCGUGUGCGACAGGUAAGAGAUAUUUAAAUACCUGUAUCGACUAGUGUUACAGGUAACAGAGAUUUAAAUAGCCGGGAUCAACCACUUUACCUGCGAUCAUGAUUGUUCGAUUGAUCCUGCUUGGGAUACAGGUAAGCAAAGGAAAGAAAAGAUCGGUAAAAUCCUUGAAAUCUGGUUGUAUUGGUGGUGAAAGGACAAGAUUCAAACAAAAGAAGCAUUUACAGCGAGUAUUAACCUGUUGAAGAGGACAUGGAUCGGUAGCACAAUUACUAAAUAUCAUUCCUAAAAACACCGAAUGUGAACUUGAAACGUUAACGAAAGAACACGGAAACGGAACAACUAACCAGUAGACAGAAGUUGUAGAACGACAGGGCACUGGAAAAAUAAUAUUAAUGAGAUAGUUCCGCCAUUUUUCCACAUUAAUCCGAAUUAUCGCAUUCUAUUUCCGAUUUUCUACAUUGUUCGUUUCACUAUGUUUAUACAUCACGCGUACAACCCCAUAGAUUUAAGAAAGUACCAAUUUCAAGUCUUCGUCUUAACCUGAGUAACUGUAAAGUGCGAGGGCGAGAAGUGUAAAAUAAUUAAAUAUUUUUAAUUUGAAAACACGUGUGCAUUACGCCGCGCAAGAGGAAACAAGAUGGCGGUUCGAGCGUGGAGGGCGUCGACGAAGAAAAUGACGAUUAUUUGAGAAAUUCGAUCGUGACUAGGGGAAGUAGUGAACGAGUAAUUAUUGGCAACACUGGCUAUGUUGCCGUGAAACAUAAGUGGGCCAACCUGUGUGUGGGUCAGUGCCAAACCACGUCUCGAACUCGAUCUCGAGGGAUGAGGAUUUCUCAGGGACAGCGACCGCUAUUGCCGGAUGAACUUCGGAUCUGAGAACUAUCGAUCGAUUUCGAGAUCGAUCUACGAGACUCGGAUCACGUUACAUCAACACCUCGUAACGGAUUGUCACGGCCACAGUCUAUCCUGUUCGUUUAUUUACGACAGAUCUACAGAUGCAAGUGGGGUAGAUGUUUGAAAUCAUCUUGAGGAUUUUUUAAUUUGCAGACUUUACUAAAAUUAUGUACAAAAUAAAUUUUCAUAAAUGGAA
rnacentral:misc_RNA from 1 species